GUCCAGCGUCCGGCCCACUGGCCGAUCCCGGCGACUCGCCGGCUUUCGGGCAGCUGACGCUCGAACCCUCCAAAGGCCGCAGACCCCGGACCCGCUGCAGGAAGGGCGGGCGGGAGGAGCACUGCGCAGGCGCAGGGAGUGGCCGGGCACCCAAUCAUAGCCCGUGCCGGGCCGCAGACCACCUCGGCUCCACCUCGCUCCAGCUCGGCUGCGGGUUUGGGCUCCAGAACAAGUUUUCCUGCGAGUUGAGGGGCCGAGGGCGCUGCGGGAUUGUUUAUAACUCAGGAAGCUCGACUCGUCUUUUUCUUUGGAGAAGUUUGUUUUAACCACUUAAUGGUAUUGUUUAAUUUAGUAUGACACCGGAUCUCUAAAAGAAAGCGUUUGCUUUCAUUUUGGCCACUGUUGGUUUUGUUUUGUUUUUUAGAUUGCUUUGCCAUAACCGGGGAAAUUUGAAUUAAGGGUGGGGCAUGACCCUGGUACAUCCCCGCCCGACGCGCGCCUCUUUCAGUAUGAGUUGGAGAAACAUAACAAAGGGGAAGUUUCUUUAAUGAAAAAAGUUUUCGAAGAGAUAUGGAACAGAAGGGUGGGAUGGAAGAAAAACUUCUCUUUCACUCUUCAUCUUCGGCUACCCAGGAUUUGACCAUCACACAGGUGGAUCACAACAUCCCGAAGAAGCUUCUUAGCCUGGCGUAGCCUCAUUAGUCGAGUCUUGCUUUUGUUAUUGUGCUUCUGGGAUUGCAGCCACAGACAUUCUUGUUCUGGCCACUGUUGUGGAGGAUUUCUUUCUCAUAUAUCUUCAGUACUGAAAAUGGAAUUCAAGACCCGUGUCAGGCAAGCACCCCAGCACUCAGCUUUGUCUCGACCCCCAACUUGCCCACUGUGUCCCUGACCACAGUUUGUGCCUGCCACUCAUUCUCCAGAAAUGCUUAUUUAACUCAGUACUUGGGCUCUCUUAAGUGCUAGUAAAUCAUCUGUAU